rnacentral:misc_RNA from 1 species
AAAAGUCGUAACAAGGUCUCCGUUGGUGAACCAGCGGAGGGAUCAUUAUAGAGUUGAAAAACUCCCAAACCAUUGUGAACAUACCUUUACGUCGUUGCUUCGGCGGGCGGCCCUUUCAGGGCCUCCAGCCCCUAUGGGGUGCCCGCCGGAGGACCAACCCAAAACUCUUGUAAUUAUGGCUUCUCUGAGUACUAUUACAAAUAAGUUAAAACUUUCAACAACGGAUCUCUUGGUUCUGGCAUCGAUGAAGAACGCAGCGAAAUGCGAUAAGUAAUGUGAAUUGCAGAAUUCAGUGAAUCAUCGAAUCUUUGAACGCACAUUGCGCCCGCCAGUAUUCUGGCGGGCAUGCCUGUCCGAGCGUCAUUUCAACCCUCAAGCCCAGCUUGGUGUUGGGGCAUUGCGACGUGUCGCAAGCCCUGAAAAACAGUGGCGGGCUCGCUAUAACUCCGAGCGUAGUAAUACAUCUCGCUAGGGACGUUUCGGCGGGUGUCGGCCGUUAAACCCCAAUUUUAUCAAGGUUGACCUCGGAUCAGGUAGGAAUACCCGCUGAACUUAAGCAUAUCAAUAAGCGGAGGAAAAGAAACCAACAGGGAUUGCCCUAGUAGCGGCGAGCGAAGCGGCAACAGCUCAAAUUUGAAAUCUGGCCCUAGGCCCGAGUUGUAAUUUGCAGAGGAUGCUUUUGGCGCGGCCCCUUCUGAGUCCACUGGAACGUGGCGCCAAAGAGGGUGAGAGCCCCGUAUAGUCGGAAGCCAAGCCAGUGUAAAGCUCCUUCGACGAGUCGAGUAGUUUGGGAAUGCUGCUCUAAAUGGGAGGUAAAUGUCUUCUAAAGCUAAAUACCGGCCAGAGACCGAUAGCGCACAAGUAGAGUGAUCGAAAGAUGAAAAGCACUUUGAAAAGAGGGUUAAAUAGCACGUGAAAUUGUUGAAAGGGAAGCGCUUGUGACCAGACUUGUGCCGGGCGGAUCAUCCAGCGUUCUCGCUGGUGCACUCCGCCCGGUUCAGGCCAGCAUCGGUUCUGUUGGGGGCAUAAAGGCCGCUGGAACGUAGCUCCUCGGAGUGUUAUAGCCAGUGGUGUAAUAUCCCCGAUGGGACCGAGGACCGCGCUCUGCAAGGAUGCUGGCGUAAUGGUCAUCAGCGACCCGUCUUGAAACACGGACCAAGGAGUCGAGGUUUUGCGCGAGUGUUUGGGUGUAAAACCCGCACGCGUAAUGAAAGUGAACGCUGGUGAGAGCUUCGGCGCAUCAUCGACCGAUCCUGAUGUAUUCGGAUGGAUUUGAGUAAGAGCGUAAAGCUUCGGACCCGAAAGAUGGUGAACUAUGCUUGGAUAGGGUGAAGCCAGAGGAAACUCUGGUGGAGGCUCGCAGCGGUUCUGACGUGCAAAUCGAUCGU